CCUACGGGAGGCAGCAGUGGGGAAUAUUGGGCAAUGGGCGCAAGCCUGACCCAGCAACGCCGCGUGAAGGAUGAAGGUUUUCGGAUUGUAAACUUCUGUCGCGAGGGACGAAGAAUGACGGUACCUCGUAAGAAAGCCCCGUCUAACUACGUGCCAGCAGCCGCGGUAAUACGUAGGGGGCACGCGUUGUCCGUCAUGACUGGGCGUAAGGGGAGGGUAGGCGGCUCAUCCAGUUAGGUUUGAAAUCCCGCGGCUUAACCUGGGAACUGCAUCUAAAACUGGUAAGCUGGAGGGCAGGAGAGGUGAGUGGAAGUCCUAGUGUAGCGGUGGAAUGCGUAGAUAUUAGGAGGAACACCAGAGGCGAAGGCGACUCACUGGACUGUAACUGACGCUGAGGCUCGAAAGCGUGGGGAGCAAACAGGAUUAGAUACCCGAGUAGUC
rnacentral:rRNA from 1 species